AAAAACAACCUACUCUGCGAAAAACAAUUCAAAUGAACGACACUAAAUAGGGAUCUCCUAUCCCGGAACACUCGAUCCCGCUGAGUGAUUCACAUAACAAACCGAACCAAUCAGGUGAUUCGAAGCAGUUGAGUGCUUCAAACGUCACUGAAGUGAUUCAAACGUCACGAGUCACGUGACCAAACCACGCCUCGGCACAGUGGCUCGAUAUGUUUGCUUCAUGAGCUACAGCGCAUGUGUCGAAGCCUCGGGUAUCAGAGGACCAUCAUUAACUGAAAGGGCUCUGAUAGUUCAUCUUGGUCUGGAUCAUUGGGAACAUCUAGUCUGAUCGACUGAGAGCUACAGAGAACAUGAACAUCCAGCUGUGGUUGUCUGAAGUCUUUUCUCCUUCAUCAUUGUGAGGAAGAGCAGCACUGAUGUCCUCCUCAUCCUUCCAGUAAUAACAAUAAUGCUGCAGAUUCAGCUCCUCUCUUCAUAAUACAACUUGUCUUGUGACUGUUCAGUUUUUACACUUCACUGUCAGCAACACAUUAUAUAUUUCAUCCAUUUAUUACAUGUGUUUACACAUCUUUACAGUUCACAAUAGUUAAAUAAUGUAGUUUUAAAAUGUGCAAUAAAGGUAAUAAUGAAGCUCC